UUCAAAGACGUUUAAAUAUAAUUACUAGACGGAAAGCAGCACGCGCGGAAACCAUGCAGACGAAUGGGAUUAGGCUCCGCCUCUUUUGGAUCAUUUGAAGACAAAAUAAGCACCCGAGGCGGCUUUCUGAUUGGAUAACAGCCUCAUGAAUAUGUAUUUUAUCGAUAGUAUCGUUUAAGAAACCGGAUAAUAUAUUUGACCUCAUUGCGUCACUUUAAUUAUGCAGAUUUAUGCACGACGCUACUACACUCGCACAAACUGAGAAGAGUUAGUUCAUUGAGAAUGGAUUGAAACUGAUGAAGAGCUGGAAGGAGUUAACUGAUGAGUAGACAUUACAACAUUUCUUAUAUUUGCAAGAUGAAGCUGAAAGUCCCAUGCAGGAUGAUGCUUCUCUACAGUGGAUGAUGAAGGCAUGCUGAUUACAAACCCAGGAGAGGAACAAAGAACAGAUAUUGACAGAAGCAUAUCUAGAGAUGCGGGCCUACUACACUUCAUACGAGCAAGUGUGCUAAUAUACAAUACUUGGGUUAUCAUCACAGCCCUUUCUUCUGAAAACUAGCCUACAACUUCAUCGAUGAAUGCAGAAGACAUCUACAUGGGACUACGUCUUAAAGAUGCAACCCUCAUAUAAUGAAAGAGGACAUUAGAGAUGGGUUUAAACUUGAAUAUUUACAUACUAUUUAUUUAUUAUUUGUAUUA
rnacentral:lncRNA from 1 species